rnacentral:tRNA from 1 species
GGGGAAUCAGCUCAAAUGGUAGAGCGCUCGCUUUGCAUGCGAGAUGCAGUGGGAUCAAUACCCACAUUCUCCA